rnacentral:rRNA from 1 species
GUGAGGAAUAUUGCGCAAUGGAGGCAACUCUGACGCAGCCAUGCCGCGUGCAGGAAGAAGGCGCUACGCGUUGUAAACUGCUUUUAACCGGGAAGAAACCCCAGGACGUGUCCUGGGUUGACGGUACCGGAGGAAUAAGCACCGGCUAACUUCGUGCCAGCAGCCGCGGUAAUACGAAGGGUGCAAGCGUUAUCCGGAUUCAUUGGGUUUAAAGGGUGCGUAGGCGGAGCGUUAAGUCAGUGGUGAAAUCCUGCAGCUUAACUGUAGACUUGCCAUUGAUACUGGCGCUCUUGAUUGCGCUUGAAGUGGGCGGAAUGUGCCGUGUAGCGGUGAAAUGCUUAGAUAUGGCACAGAACACCAAUUGCGAAGGCAGCUCACUAAGGCGAUACUGACGCUGAGGCACGAAAGCGUGGGGAUCGAACAGGAUUAGAUACCCUUGUAGUCC